UAUCUAUGUUGAAAGAUGAAAGGCUUGUUUCUCAUGAACAUUCGCAGUGGCCGCCUGAUCGAACUUUCGCCUUCGCCAGGCUUGAGAGUUCAUGUUGCUCCUUCCUUCCUUCCUUGGAUGUCUGAGAUC
rfam:Helianthus annuus linkage group 15, whole genome shotgun sequence.